UGCAUUCACUACUGUAAGUCGCUCUGGAUAAGAGUGUCUGCUAAAUGACAUUGU
rfam:Salmo salar isolate Sally breed double haploid chromosome ssa15, whole genome shotgun sequence.